rnacentral:rRNA from 1 species
GUUGAUAAGGUUAAGUGAAUAAGGGCGCACGGUGGAUGCCUUGGCACUAGGAGCCGAUGAAGGACGGGACUAACACCGAUAUGCUUUGGGGAGCUGUACGUAAGCUAUGAUCCAGAGAUUUCCGAAUGGGGGAACCCAGCAUCUUUAAUAGGAUGUUACGAUUGUGUGAAUACAUAGCACAUUCGAGGUAGACGCAGAGAACUGAAACAUCUAAGUACCUGCAGGAAGAGAAAGAAAAUUCGAUUCCCUGAGUAGCGGCGAGCGAAACGGGAAAAGCCCAAACCAACAAGCUUGCUUGUUGGGGUUGUAGGACUCCAAUAUGGUCGUUCUUUCAGAUAGUCGAAUGACUUGGAAAAGUCAGUCAAAGAGGGUAAAAACCCCGUAGACGAAAUGUGGAAGACACCUAGGAGGAUCCUGAGUACGGCGGAACACGAGAAAUUCCGUCGGAAUCCGGGAGGACCAUCUCCCAAGGCUAAAUACUCCCUAGUGACCGAUAGUGAACCAGUACCGUGAGGGAAAGGUGAAAAGCACCCCGGAAGGGGAGUGAAAUAGAACCUGAAACCGUGUGCCUACAACAAGUCAAAGCCCGUUAAUGGGUGAUGGCGUGCCUUUUGUAGAAUGAACCGGCGAGUUACGAUUGCAUGCGAGGUUAAGUUGAAGAGACGGAGCCGCAGCGAAAGCGAGUCUGAAUAGGGCGUUUGAGUAUGUAGUCGUAGACCCGAAACCAUGUGAUCUACCCAUGUCCAGGUUGAAGGUGCGGUAAAACGCACUGGAGGACCGAACCCACGUACGUUGAAAAGUGCGGGGAUGAGGUGUGGGUAGCGGAGAAAUUCCAAACGAACUUGGAGAUAGCUGGUUCUCUCCGAAAUAGCUUUAGGGCUAGCCUCGGAAUUGAGAAUGAUGGAGGUAGAGCACUGUUUGGACUAGGGGCCCAUCUCGGGUUACCGAAUUCAGAUAAACUCCGAAUGCCAUUCAUUCAUAUCCGGGAGUCAGACUGUGAGUGAUAAGAUCCAUAGUCGAAAGGGAAACAGCCCAGACCACCAGCUAAGGUCCCAAAAUAUAUGUUAAGUGGAAAAGGAUGUGGGGUUGCACAGACAACUAGGAUGUUGGCUUAGAAGCAGCCACCAUUUAAAGAGUGCGUAAUAGCUCACUAGUCGAGUGACCCUGCGCCGAAAAUGUACCGGGGCUAAACAUAUUACCGAAGCUGUGGAGUACACCUUUAGGUGUAUUGGUAGGAGAGCGUUCUAAGGGCGUCGAAGGCAGAUCGUGAGGACUGCUGGAGCGCUUAGAAGUGAGAAUGCCGGUAUGAGUAGCGAAAGACAGGUGAGAAUCCUGUCCACCGAAUGACUAAGGUUUCCUGGGGAAGGCUCGUCCGCCCAGGGUUAGUCGGGACCUAAGCCGAGGCCGAUAGGCGUAGGCGAUGGAUAACAGGUUGAUAUUCCUGUACCCGUUGUUUUUGUUUGAGCAAUGGAGGGACGCAGGAGGCUAAGGAAUGCAGACGAUCGGAAAUGUCUGUCCAAGCAGUAAGUCUGAAGAGGAGUCAAAUGCUUCUUUUCUUAAGGACAAGCUGUGAUGGGGAGGGAAAUAAUAGUACCGAAGUUCCUGAUGUCACACUGCCGAGAAAAGCUUCUAGUGAGAAAACAGCGGCCCGUACCGCAAACCGACACAGGUAGUCGAGGAGAGAAUCCUAAGGUGAGCGAGAGAACUCUCGUUAAGGAACUCGGCAAAAUGACCCCGUAACUUCGGGAGAAGGGGUGCUGAUCAUACGAUCAGCCGCAGUGAAUAGGCCCAAGCGACUGUUUAUCAAAAACACAGGUCUCUGCAAAAUCGUAAGAUGAAGUAUAGGGGCUGACGCCUGCCCGGUGCUGGAAGGUUAAGAGGAGUGCUUAGCGCAAGCGAAGGUACGAAUUGAAGCCCCAGUAAACGGCGGCCGUAACUAUAACGGUCCUAAGGUAGCGAAAUUCCUUGUCGGGUAAGUUCCGACCCGCACGAAAGGCGUAACGAUUUGGGCACUGUCUCAACGAGAGACUCGGUGAAAUUUUAGUACCUGUGAAGAUGCAGGUUACCCGCGACAGGACGGAAAGACCCCAUGGAGCUUUACUGUAGUUUGAUAUUGAGUGUCUGUACCGCAUGUACAGGAUAGGUAGGAGCCGUAGAAAUCGGAACGCUAGUUUCGAUGGAGGCGCUGGUGGGAUACUACCCCUGCGUUAUGGCCACUCUAACCCGCACCACUGAUCGUGGUGGGAGACAGUGUCAGAUGGGCAGUUUGACUGGGGCGGUCGCCUCCUAAAAGGUAACGGAGGCGCCCAAAGGUUCCCUCAGAAUGGUUGGAAAUCAUUCGAAGAGUGUAAAGGCAGAAGGGAGCUUGACUGCGAGACCAACAAGUCGAGCAGGGACGAAAGUCGGGCUUAGUGAUCCGGUGGUUCCGCAUGGAAGGGCCAUCGCUCAACGGAUAAAAGCUACCCUGGGGAUAACAGGCUUAUCUCCCCCAAGAGUCCACAUCGACGGGG